AAGAAGAAGAAGAACAAGUCUGGUGAGUUGGCUGGCCAGGAAGGGAGACCAGAAGAACCCAUUCGAGAGAAGAGAAGACUUGAGAAGGAGAGGAGGGCUAAUCUGGAGCAAAUUCAUGCUGAAUCUCAGAGACUGUUGCGCGAAACUAGAGAUGCUUCAUUUAAACAUGUGCCUCUUGUUCAGAAGUCGAUAUCAUCUGUUUUGGAGAAGAUCAGGCUAAGAAAGUUG